rnacentral:rRNA from 2 species
UACGUAGGAUCCAAGCGUUGUCCGGAUUUACUGGGUGUAAAGGGUGCGCAGGCGGAAUGGUAAGUCAGAGGUGAAAUCUCAUCGCUCAACGGUGAAACUGCCUUUGAUACUAUCAUUCUUGAGUCCGAUAGAGAUCUGUGGAAUUCCGAGUGUAGCAGUGAAAUGUGUAGAUAUUCGGAAGAACACCAGUGGCGAAGGCAGCAGAUUGGGUCGGUACUGACGCUCAGGCACGAAAGCAUGGGGAUCAAACAGG